CCAGGGUCUCCAGACCUACGAAUAAGGAACAAAUGACGUUUGUUGUAGGUGGGGUGAGUAAAGAUUCUAUUCUGUGUGAUCCUGACCAUGUCUAUUACCAACCGUUUGCCUUAACAGCAUCCAUUUCCUCAGUGUCACCUGGAAACUUGCUAAAAAUGCAGACUCUCAGCCUCUGCCCCAGUUCAACUGAAUUAGACCGUCCUCUUUGGCAUAAGAUCCUUAGGCGUCUUAACAGUGAGAGGGGAGAUUAGGGAAGAGGACUCACGGGGUCCAUUGACCUUGAUGCCUCCUGACAGAGUCUUAGUUUUGGAAUUGCUAAAGAUGUAGGUGCAGAAGAGUGCAGCUUGGUGCACGAAUUCAGAGUCCAGCUCAUCAUCAUGCAGUUCUUCAAGCCGGCUAAGCUGCUUCCUCUGAGUGGGUCGAUCAAAGAUAAAGCAUUUCUUCUUUGGGAAGAACUUCCGGAUACAGAGUCGAGGCAGAUUAAACAUUUUAUCUUUUUCACUGGUACCUGGAGGAAGAUAAAAGAGAAUUUGCCUAGUAUAGGGGCUUACACACUUUUUCUGAAUAUUUUAGGCAUUUGCAAGCCAGAUGGUCUUUUUUCAAAGUACUCUAUCUGCCGUCACAGCAUGAAAGCAGCCCUAGACAGUCUAUAAGUGAAGGGGCAUAGCUGUUUUCCAGUAAAACCCUAUUUACAAAGACAGCUGGCCAUCAUUUGACUGUGGGCCAUAGUCUGUGAACCCCUGGAUUAAUGCACUGUUCAUGCUUUUAUUUAAUUUCUUCAAAUAAAUGACCAUUCUACUCCAUACUCUGGCUAAUUACAGCAUCACAAGCCCUAAGAAGAUCAUAUCAAUCUAGUCACAGCACAGGGAAAGGUAAAAGAAAAAGCAACUCUUUCUUAGAACAAGAGAAAAUAACUUAAAAUCAAAUCUAUUAAUUCAGGUAUUAAAGAAGCUCUCAGGUUAAGUAAUGGCCCCCGAGAAGAAACAGAAAACAUAAAUAUAAGAAAACUGAAUGGAAAACUAAAGAAUGAUAGUUUUGGGUGCUGACCUCAUUUAUCAGUUCUCAGUCCCCUUUACCUUUCUUCAGCUUGAGUGAAUUCUCCAGGUACUCGUCUGGUGUGAUACAUUGCCCAUCUGUUUCCAAGUCUAGGGAGAAAUCCCUCAGCGUCCACACAAAGUCUGGAAAGAAGCUCACAAAGUCAGCUGAGUCCUCAACCCCGUCCUCCUCAGGGGAGGAUUUUGCCCUGAUUCUGUCUGUCAGCUCUGUCACAUAGCUGAGCAGCAAAUUCAGGAAAACUGGCAUAAAAGAAGAGUGCCGCCUCUCCUGCGAUAUUUCCACAUACUCAAAACUGUCGUUUCGCGUUUGUCCUUUCUUUUUUUAGCGGAUACAAACUACUCUACAUAAAGCAGACAGGCAACAAGGAUUUACUGUAAAACACAGGAAACCACAUUCAACGUCCUGCAAUCACCCCCAAUGGAAAAUAAUAUGAAAACAACCACAUAUACACCUGACUAUUGUUGCUGUACACCUGGAACUAACAAUGUAAGUCAACUAUACUUCAACUUUUUAAAAAGCCUUGACAUGCUCCAAAGGGCUCAUGCUAUUUUGGCACUGCCAGUUUGCUGCCAGGGACAUCUGGAUGGGGCUCUUCGCCUGAGGAGCAAUGCUAGGCUUACCACCUUGUUCUUAACCCAGGUAUCAAUUCUUCAGUGGGUACAUAGGACUUUUUUCCCUGCCCUUGAAUUAUUUUUUAUGUUUCUCUUUUUGGGUUUGAUUCACCAGGAUUCACAGUUAGGCAGCUAUCUUUUUUAAAUACAGGUCUCCCCUCUGAAUGUGAUGCUGUUCUGGACCCCAGAAAGGAUACUGUAGUUGGUCCAUGGCCUGCUGGUUAAUGGUUCCCAUACUAUUGUAUACAAACGUGCUGCUUAGCAGUAUUGCUAGGGCAAAGAUCCAGGAGUCAUUCUGGUUGUCACCCUGGGAAUCAGAACACAUUUGGGCCAAGAUUAUAUUUCAUUGUCAUGGCACUUUCCAGAUCAGCAGGAGUAAAAGGAUGUUCCUUUAAUUAGAGGUUUUUAAAUUUUUUUUUAGACUAAUGACCUACAAAAGGAAACCAAAUCUAAGCAAAAAUGAUUGUCAGUAGGACCUGAACUUUGUUUCAUCUUUUUAUUUGUUUUUAGAGGAGGUACUGGGGAUUGAACCCAGGGCCUUAUGCAUGUCAGGCAUGUACUCUACCACUGAGCCACAUCCUCCCCCAGGACUUGAACUUUGAAUAGUUUUCUGAUUGGGAUUUUUCGUUUACACUAAUUCUGACUACGCCCUCUUAAGAUCAUUGAUAGAUAAUUGCAAAACAAAUAGUCAAUGUUGUUAGACUUUGUAAGACCUUAAAUAUAAUUUAAAUUUAAAUUUUUCUCUUCAUUUUUACAGAAAAUUGUCUUAAUAUAAGAAUAAUAAUACUUGGAUCAAUCAUUCAGCAAUUAUUAUGCACCUAACAUUUUCCACUACUUACCUUAUGAAAUAUUCAAAAUAAUACUAUGAGGCAAAUGUAGAUCUGUUAUAUGUGUUUUACAGAUCAGAAAGCUGAGCUUAAGAGAGGUCAAAUAACUUGUGAGGGUCACUGCAUUACUGACAGAGUUUAAAUUUAAAGCCAGCGGUAUGGGACUUCAGAACCUGAUCCCUUAACUAAAGUUCUUUGCAGGAUAAGAUUCAUUACACUGAUUUUAUUUGUGCUACCUUCAUGCAUCUGGUUCACUGGCGUAGCCUACAACCAACCUAUCAUUAAUAAUUAGAAUACUCUCUACUGACCACUAUGCUCUGCUUCUAGGAUUCUGCCUAAUGAAUAUUUUCCUGACCCAUAGUUGUUAAGAUUGGUCUCAUGGCACGUACACAGAAAUGAAAAAAAAACAUGAUUGAGUGCAAGCUCUUAUUUAAAGAAAAAUUAAGUAGUGUAGAGAC